GACGAACGCUGGCGGCGUGCUUAACACGUGCAAGUCGAACGGAAAGGCCCUGCUUUUGUGGGGUGCUCGAGUGGCGAACGGGUGAGUAACACGUGAGUAACCUGCCCCUGACUUUGGGAUAACUUCAGGAAACUGGGGCUAAUACCGGAUAGGAGCUCCUGCUGCAUGGUGGGGGUUGGAAAGUUUCGGCGGUUGGGGAUGGACUCGCGGCUUAUCAGCUUGUUGGUGGGGUAGUGGCUUACCAAGGCUUUGACGGGUAGCCGGCCUGAGAGGGUGACCGGCCACAUUGGGACUGAGAUACGGCCCAGACUCCUCCGGGAGGCAGCAGUGGGGAAUAUUGCACAAUGGGCGGAAGCAUGAUGCAGCAACGCCGCGUGCGGGAUGACGGCCUUCGGGUUGUAAACCGCUUUCGCCUGUGACGAAGCGUGAGUGACGGUAAUGGGUAAAGAAGCACCGGCUAACUACGUG
rnacentral:rRNA from 1 species